UUCGAGAUUUCUAAAAGUAAUGCAGAGAAAUGUAACGCCUAUUACUAUCGUUAUAAAAAUGUAUCUAAAAGAAAGUAUCCAUCGCAAACAAAUGUGGAAUGUUGUAAGUCAUAUAGGCUGCGAAAAAAAUGUUUUGUUACGCUAAAGAAGAAUAACUUCUUACGACGACGUUUAAUCGCACACUUGUCAAUACAGAAAUCGCAUUAUCUUCCUCUUUUGUUUCAAUGAUUGUCAAUAAAAAUGAUUAUUUACCGAGAGUACUAAUAAGUCUUCUUACAUCGGUAUAAUGUGCGUUAUUUAUGAUCGUUAAAAUAAAAUUCUCAUGAAUUGUCUUAUAAAGCAACUCUCUAGCAAUUAAUUUUAUGUUGAAGUUUUUCCUCGUCCUUUUUAUGGUAUUCUCGAGAAAAUCCAAAAUAUUCUCAGUAUUCUUUUUUGACUCAUUCGUUAACAAUAUCUUUUCUUCACUGUUCAUGCUAAUAUUUUGUGAAAUUAAUCCUAGUACUGCGUUUAAUACGUCGUCGAUAUCCAUCUUUGUUUUAUUGAUAUUCUGGAUAAAUCGAAGUUCAUCCGUGACAAUUUUCAAAUUUCUGUUUUUAAAUAUUAUUUCUUUAAAUUGGAUUCCACUCAUUGCAAUUUCGGGGCAAGCAAUGACGUUUUCCCGUUUUUCAAACUUCAUCGGUAAGGCUACGAAAAAAAAUCAGUAUAUUUCAUAUAAUUUGUUAAACUAUGAUACAUUAUUUUUUUUUGUCGAAACAUUUAUAAACUCGAUAUUUUACUCGAUUAUUACAGAAAAAUGUUUUUUAAUAAUGUAACAAGUUUGAUUUACGAGCAUAUUUGGUGUAAAAACUAUUUUUAUGUCGUUUGGAAAAAAAUAUACGUAUUGCCUUCUUGCA
rnacentral:misc_RNA from 1 species